GCGGGGGUGCCAGAGUGGUCAAAUGGGCUAGGUUGAGGGCCUAGUAGCUUAGUGCUUGCGCGGGUUCAAACCCCGUCCCCCGCA
rnacentral:tRNA from 1 species